rnacentral:rRNA from 1 species
ACCCUACAUGACAGAUUUCAAUUGCAAGAGCUGAAACGCAUCACAAGCACCAUCAAACCCACCCUCAAGCCACAGAACAAGAUAGCGAGACUAAAGUUCUGCCUAUCCAUGAUGGAUGAAAGAUGGAUAUCAAGUCCUUGGCCCAGUUUCAAGCCAAUGACAAAUAUGGUCCACAUCGACGAGAAAUGGUAUGACAUGACCCGAGUGAAGAGUAGCUACUACGUACUGCCUGUAGAAGAAGAACCAAACCGAACUGUGCACAAUACUCAUAGCAUUGGGAAGACUGAGGCACAACGAACAAGCCAGAACAGAGAUAGGGGGACAAUAGAGUUGAAGCCGGUCAAAGUUACUAGACCUGUGUGCAGAGAUUACUUGAUCAAUAAAGUAAUCCCUGCCAUUCAAGACAAAUGGCUGGACGGUGACGAGGACACAACGAUCUUUAUUCAACAAGAUAAUGCAACACCGCAUGUCCUCCCUAAUGAUGCUGGUUUUUUAGAAGCCGUGGCACAGACAGAUCUAGAUAUUCGAUUAUUGCAACAACCACCAAACAGCCCUGAGCUCAAUGUUCUGGAUCUUUGUUUCCACUGCUCCCUCCAAUCCCUAACCGACUGUAGAGCGCCUAUGAAUAUACAGGAACUGGUACAGGGUGUAGAGGAGUUUGAGAACUACGAUCCCCAUAAGCUGUUCAAAAGCUUUAUGACGUUGCAAGCAGUCAUGGUGGAAGUGAUGAAAGAUCAAGGAGGAAACAACUAUAAGCUACCGCAUCUACACAAGGACCGUCUACAAAAUGGGGGAGAAGAAAUAACCGGUGUAUACUGCAGUCCUGAGCUAAUUACU